CUUACACAUGCAAGUCGAACGGUAGAGUAGCAAUACUCGAGAGUGGCGAACGGGUGAGUAAUAUAUCGGAACGUGCCCAGUCGUGGGGGAUAACGUAGAGAAAUUUACGCUAAUACCGCAUACGAUCUAAGGAUGAAAGCGGGGGAUCGCAAGACCUCGCGCGAUUGGAGCGGCUGAUAUCAGAUUAGGUUGUUGGUGAGGUAAAAGCUCACCAAGCCGACGAUCUGUAGCUGGUUUGAGAGAACGACCAGCCACACUGGGACUGAGACACGGCCCAGACUCCUACGGGAGGCAGCAGUGGGGAAUUUUGGACAAUGGGCGAAAGCCUGAUCCAGCAAUGCCGCGUGCAGGAAGAAGGCCUUCGGGUUGUAAACUGCUUUUGUACGGAACGAAACGGUCUGCUUUAAUACAGUGGGCUAAUGACGGUACCGUAAGAAUAAGCACCGGCUAACUACGUGCCAGCAGCCGCGGUAAUACGUAGGGUGCGAGCGUUAAUCGGAAUUACUGGGCGUAAAGCGUGCGCAGGCGGUUAUAUAAGACAGUUGUGAAAUCCCCGGGCUCAACCUGGGAAUUGCAUCUGUGACUGUAUAGCUAGAGUACGGUAGAGGGGGAUGGAAUUCCGCGUGUAGCAGUGAAAUGCGUAGAUAUGCGGAGGAACACCGAUGGCGAAGGCAAUCCCCUGGACCUGUACUGACGCUCAUGCACGAAAGCGUGGGGAGCAAACAGGA
rnacentral:rRNA from 1 species